AGGCCAAUAGCUCGACUGGUAGAGCAGCGGUCUCCAGAGCCGCAGGUUGGGGGUUCGAGUCCCUCUUGGCCUG
rnacentral:tRNA from 1 species